AUGCGUGAGGAGGAGGAGAUUGUGGUCAUGGUGGCGCGACAAAGGUCGUGGCCGGCCGAUGCGCCGCAGCAGGUGGUGGCGCGUGAGGAGGAGGGGGCCGUGGUCUUGGGAUUAGCUUCUUACUGGUGUAGAGCUCCUCCAUGGAAGCAUGAACGGGAUCUGGCCUGCCCACAUCCACGGUGGCUCAUGGAAACAGCGGCACCAUGGAGCAGGUGGUUGCACACUAUGGCGGCAGUCUCCCGAGAGAGAGCAUGGAGAUGGUCUGAGAGUAUCUUUGAAUUGCUCAAAGAGAUUGAAUAUCAAACAAGUUGA
rnacentral:rRNA from 1 species